UGGAAGUGAUCUACAAACAGUUCUGAAGAAUACACAGGUCACACAGGUCACAUGUGAUAUAAUGUUUGAAGUUUACCUUUUAAUUGACAAAUAAUAAUUGUAUAUAUUUAUGGGGUACAAUGUGAUAUUUUAAUACAAAUAUACUGGGUCAGUUUUUUGUCACGGUGACAAAUACCUGGGAAUAGCUACUUAAAAAGAGGAAAAAUGUAUUUUGGCUUGUGGUUUCAGAUGUUUCAGUCCGUGGUUAGCUGGUUCAUGGCUCUAGGCCUCAUUGGAAACAGAACACCACUUAGGGCAAAGCUGCUCACCGUGUGGCAGUCAGGAAGCAGAGAGAAAGAGAAAGAACCAGACACCCAGGAGCCAGGGGCAAGAUGGAGUCCUCAGGGUUACACCCCGAUGGCUCAGUCCCUUCCACUAAGCUCCUCUUCCUACAUUUCUGUCACCUCCCAAUAAUUCUGUCAAAGUAUGAUCUCUUCAGUGGGUUGACUCAUGUAUGAAGUUAGAGCCCUUUUGAUCCAAUCACCUUCCAAAAGCCUUACCUCUGAACACAUGAGAUUUGGGAAGAUAUUUUAGGUCUAAACUAUCACAUAUACACUAUAGAAUGGUCGUAUCAGGUUAAUUCACAUAUCCAUCCUCUCAUACGCUUAUCAUUUCUUUGUGGUGAAAACAUUUAAAAUCUACUCUCUUAGCAGCUGUGAAAUACACAUUGCAAUAACUAUAAUCACAUUGCCAUGCCAUUUGCAUUCCAGUCCAUGCCUUUACUGUUCUGUUCCUCCAUAUGAAUUAGUUUGGGUCUAAAGACAUGUUCACAGAGAAGCAGAGCUGGAAUCCAGGCUAGAGUGUAAUGGGAAAUACUCUGGAGUGCCCUUCCCUCGGUCACUGGCUGUCCCAUCUGCCACCCGCUGGUGGAGUAGCCUUGGGAAAACCACCUGACCUUUCUGUCCUCACUUUCCUUGUUUGUGUGAUAAGGAUAGUACUGCCAUGCUCUUGCAGGGUCAUUGUGAAAUUUAUGUACUGGGUGGUACACGGGUGAACCAUGAAAAGUUGUAACCUAGUAUAAAACUGUAAUAACCGUGUUAUUAUAUCACAUAGUUUUUCCUAUUCUUCCUCCCACUCUCCCCAGAAACAACCAACCAACCAAAGUUCAGGGCAAAUCAAGCAUUUGUGAUGGCAGGCCUAACUGAAGUCUGGGGCAGUAUCUCGGGACCCAUGUGGGGGUACCUCUGCAAGUUCCUGUGCUGCAUCUUGGCUUCUGUGGACCCCUGCCGUGCCCUGCCUCCUGUGGGAGGAGGGAGAGCAGUGACAUCAUCUGCCCCUCUGUGGCUGUCAACAUCCUAUGAGUGCUAUGGAACCAAGAUUGCUGUGACUUUGCAGGUGUACAGAAAGAGCAAGAGCAUCGCUCAUCUAGAACCUGUGCUCUCCCCGCGCGUGUCCAGCAGUGAGUUGCUCCCACCACGCAACACUCUGAUCUGACCUUCUUAUUCACCAAAAAGUCAACGAGCAAUGGGGAGCUCCUGUGAACAUGUGGAGCCUGGUGGAGGUAUCCUUAAAGCUCUUCUGAAACCGCUUGCAGGUCCUCCAUCUCUCUAUGCCUUCUCUCUUCCUCCCAGUGACACUGUUGUGGUUCAUACAAUUCCUGCCUUGUCCUCCUCUGCCACAGGGCCUUGCUACAUGAUCCUGAGUGCCUGGACAUGAGCUCCGGGCUCUGAG